UUAAGACGCUGUCUCAGAUCUAGGAACUCCUGGUCAAGACUCCUGGAGUGGGGGAUGAAUUCAGCAGCCUACCUGCUGGUUGUGUGAAAGGCGGGGGAAGCGGCUUCACUAUAUUUGUUUCUGGGAGGAAAGGAAACAUCUGCCUCAGUCUGAGAUGUCAGAACAGCUUUUCCGUUUUGCAAAUCUCAUGCGAGCUGAAUGCGAGUUAUGGUUAACUUAAAGUUAGCUAACUAUUAAAUGGUUUAUAAGCUAUUUAUACUGUAUGCUCACAAAGUGUUAAUGAUUUAAACUAGAGCAUUUAGUGUGGAAGUGCACUCAAACCUGUGAUGGAUUUAUUGUAGGCUACGUCAAUGGCGCACAGUAGCCUAGAGACAGGAAAGAGCCUUGAGUGUUUAGCGGUGAGAUAAGCUAUAUUAGACUAUGCCUCACAUAGCUAACAGUGUGUCAUUACAUUAGCAUUUUAGCAUGACACUAGGCUAUAUUAGACUAUGCCUCACAUAGCUAACAGUGUGUCAUUACAUUAGCAUUUUAGCAUGACACUAGGCUAUAUUAGACUAGACCUCACAUAGCUAACAGUGUGUCAUUACAGUCAACUCAGUCUGUGUAGCCAUUUGUUAGCAAUUUAGUUAGCUAUUUAGUGGUCUUAUGGCUUGGGGAUAGAAGCUGUUCAGGAGCCUGUUGGUGUCAGGCUUGAUGCACUGGUACAGCUUGUUGAGCGGAAGCAGAGAGAACAGUCUAUGGCCUGGAUGGCUGGAGUCUUUUAACAAUUUUCCAGGCUUUCCUUUCACACUGCCUGAUUUAGAGGUCCUGAAUAGCAGGGAGCUCUGCCCCAUUGAUGUACUGGGCUGACACAACAACCUCUGUAGCGCCAUGCGAUCGAGGGUGGUGCUAUUGCCAUAUCAAGUGGUGAUGCAGCCAGUCAAGAUGCUCUCAAUGGUACAGCUGUACCAUUUUUUGAGGAUUUGAGGGUGCCAAACAUUUUCAACCACCUGAAGGGGAAGAGGUGCUGUCGCGCCUUCUUAACGACUGAGCUUUCGACCCACUGGGCUGCAGUGGAGGGGUUGCAGUGGAGCGGUCAGUGGACUGGCAGUCCUUGGUCUUACUGACGUUGAGGGAAAGGUUGUUGUUCCUGCACCAUACUGCCAGUCCACUGACCUCCUCCCUGUAGGCUGUCUCAUCGUUGCCGGUGAUCAGGCUACCACCGUCGUGUCGUGAGCAAACUUGAUGAUGGUGUUGGAGUCGUGCGUGGCCACGCAGUCGUGGAUGAACAGGGAGUACAGAAGGGGACUAAAGGGGUCUACAGACAAACACAAACAGUGCUGAUGGAGCGUAGUGCAGUGUUGCAAUGUCGUUUUCCAUCACAAAAGGGGUGGCUCCUUGUUAUACGCUUCGUCAUUUGACACAGUUUUUUUCUACCUGGAAAUUGAGACCCGACACAUCAUUCCUUGCGAUGACGGAGGGGCAGUACUAAGUGACUUUUGCAACGGAAGUCCUGCCCCUGUGUCUACAUCACAUAUUUUCCAGUAUCAUUUCUAGUAUAAACUCAGAACCAAUGAACAUUCUUCUACUUUGCUUCUACUACUCUCAAGCUUCCUUUUUUGUGCUUUUUUUAAAAAAGAUUUUCUAAGCGUAAUUAUGUCUGUCCAGUUUUGAGGAGCGUCUGUGCAAGCUGGUGAGACAAUAAGAGAACCUUUACUACCCUUCGAUGGGGUUGUAUUUGGACAAGCAUGCAAAAGACGACAGUUGGAGGGAGAUUUCACGAAAUUUGAACACCAAUACUGAUGUCAAAGAAAGAUUGAAAAAGAGUUGGAGCCAGUAUGUUCACAAUCUGAAAAGGGUGAAGGAGAUGAGGAGUGGGGCUGCCACUGGUGUGUGCGUCCCACCGUUUGUCAGACAACAGGAUUGUUCACGUGAAAUAUCGUCAGACAGACACCAAUAUGCCCGAUACGGUGUUGGAGGGUGGUGGUGUGUUGGACAGUCCAGAGACAGAGCUGAGCCCUGAGGGCCAAUCUACCGGUGGUUCAUCGCCCCUUGAUUCAUCAUCUCCCCAACCUGGUUCAUCACCUCUCAGGCCCCUCUACCCAACACCCAGGCCCUUCUCACCAUCACCCAUCCCACCGUCCAGGCGCACCCUUGCUCUCUGCCCUGCAACUCCAUCAACCUCCGCCCCAUCUCCCUGACCCAGCUCCAGUGGCAGGAAGAGGAAGACAGCUGAGGGUCCUUCGGACACUGACAUGAUGCAGCAGGUGGAUGACUUGAAGAAACGUCAGCAGGAGUUCCAGAAACAGCAGCAGUCCAGUAAAGUCUGUCUACGACAUCAUGGUGCCAUGGACGGUGUCUAGUCCUGCUGAUCAACAUCUCCUGUUUGUCUCACCCAGUUUUCAUUUAUUUAACCAGGCAAGUCAGUUAAGAACAAAUUCUUAUUGACAAUGACAGCCUACACCAGCCAAACCCGGAUGAUGCUGGGCCAAUAAUGCGCCGCCCUAUGGGACUCCCAAUCACGGCCGUUUGUGAUACAGCCUGGAUUCGAACCAGGGUAGUGGGUAUUUUUUUGUGCCGUUUUUUCAUCCUCAUUCACAUGUUGCUGGUAUUUACUUUUGUGUUUUUUUCUCUUAUUUCCCCUUUUAUCACAUUUUUUUUUACAUUUCCUCUUGUGAUGGUAAAUAAAUAUCUAAAAGGUC